AAGAAAAUGGAAAAUAACGAACAGGCCGAAGAAGUGACUUCCUACAUCGUUGUACCACAAUAUCAUACAAAUUCAAUAAUUGAAGUAAUUAACGAUACUGGUGAAUAUAGAAUAGUACAUUCUGAACGGAAAAAUGGGUUGAAUGUUAAAACACUGCAAUAGAUGGUUCAGUGAGAUCCAAAAAUGAACUACAAAACGAGACGUAUCAUUGUCAACAGCUUAUAUUGAUAUCAUUCGAUCGCGAUACUUUUGAAACACGAAAGCGAAGCCUAACGGCUGUUUGAUAUACAAAUAUCACUKAACUGUAUCUGCACGAUAACGAACGCAGCGAGGUUAGCUUGACAUAAUAUUCAGUUGAAUUUUAUAUGCAUAGGCAGCGUGCUACCGAUGGUCGUCGUAUACGAACGGCCAUUUUGCGCCCGAACGUGACCAUCGGGCAGCUGAAAUGACCCCGGAAGUGCUCGGCCGGCCCUCAUAAUCCUGUUCCCAACUACUGCUGUCGGUACCGUGUACAAUGUAAUAAUAAUAAUAAUAUAAUAAAUCGCUGCGUGCGGUGGGGUCGUCGGUGUUUUCAUUGACCCUUGUAGUCAUCUGUGCAAGGGGUAGGGGUGUUGCGCGCGCCGCGAGGGACCGACCCCUGCAGGAACUACAAUACAUACAAUCGCUGACCAAAACACGUUGUCCCCGUUUGACCCGUUGCCGUGGAUUUCCGUCAAUAAACAAAAAAUAAAACCAGUCCUCCGCCCGCCAACCCAAACACACCCCAGCACAUAGCUAGCAGCCUACUACGCGCGUACCUAUAUACGAGUAACAAUCGUAUUAUACGGCAGUUACAUAGGGAUCCCCCGUGUAGACAUGUGCGUCGAUAUUGGCGUGUAUAAUAUGCGCUCGAUAUUUCUGUGUCGAUCUACCGAGUCGAAUGGAGCCGGUACAAAAAAAUYAUAUUACAAAUCGAUUUGAUUCGAAUGUAGGUACUAUUAUAGAUAUAGGCAUAUUAUAAUUUGAUGGUUUCGGGUACYGAUAUUUUCGACCGACGACGGGCUGACUAAUACAAACGUGUUUAUUAUUAAACAUGACUUGUGUUAAACACGCGCCAUAAAAACCAUGGAAUCGGCAAAAUGUAACGAAUGCAGCCGAACAAUAAUUUAAUACCUUUAUGGUGUACUAACCAUUCAUUUUAACUAGCAAUAAAAUGAUAACUGUUA